AUAUUGGGCAAUGGGCGCAAGCCUGACCCAGCGACACCGCGUGGGGGACGAAGGCCCUCGGGUCGUAAACCCCUGUCAGGAGGGACGAAGUCCACCGCAAGGUGGGUGACGGUACCUCCAGAGGAAGCCCCGGCUAACUACGUGCCAGCAGCCGCGGUAAGACGUAGGGGGCGAGCGUUGUCCGGAUUUACUGGGCGUAAAGCGCGUGCAGGCGGUCCGUUAAGUCUCGUGUGAAAUCCUCCGGCUCAACCGGAGAACGCCGCGGGAUACUGGCGGGCUUGAGGGCGGUAGAGGGUGAUGGAAUUCCCGGUGGAGCGGUGAAAUGCGUAGAUAUCGGGAGGAACGCCAGUGGCGAAGGCGGUCACCUGGGCCGUCCCUGACGCUGAGACGCGAAAGCUGGGGGAGCGAAC
rnacentral:rRNA from 1 species